UGAUGCAGCGACGCCGCGUGGGGGAUGACGGCCUUCGGGUUGUAAACCUCUUUCAGUAGGGACGAAGCGCAAGUGACGGUACCUACAGAAGAAGCACCGGCCAACUACGUGCCAGCAGCCGCGGUAAUACGUAGGGUGCGAGCGUUGUCCGGAAUUACUGGGCGUAAAGAGCUCGUAGGUGGUUUGUCGCGUUGUUCGUGAAAUCUCACAACUCAAUUGUGAGCGUGCGGGCGAUACGGGCAGACUGGAGUACUGCAGGGGAGACUGGAAUUCCUGGUGUAGCGGUGGAAUGCGCAGAUAUCAGGAGGAACACCGGUGGCGAAGGCGGGUCUCUGGGCAGUAACUGACGCUGAGGAGCGAAAGCGUGGGGAGCGAACAGGAUUAGAUACCCUGGUAGUCCACGCCGUAAACGGUGGGUACUAGGUGUGGGUUUCCUUCCUUGGGAUCCGUGCCGUAGCUAACGCAUUAAGUACCCCGCCUGGGGAGUACGGA
rnacentral:rRNA from 1 species